AACGCGAAGAACCUUACCUGGGUUUGACAUGCUGGUGAAAGCCUUGUGAAAGCAGGGCCCUCCUUCGGGACACCAGCACAGGUGCUGCAUGGCUGUCGUCAGCUCGUGUCGUGAGAUGUUGGGUUAAGUCCCGCAACGAGCGCAACCCUUGCCCCGUGUUACUAACAGGUCAAGCUGAGGACUCUCGGGGGACUGCCGGCGUCAAGCCGGAGGAAGGUGGGGACGACGUCAAGUCAUCAUGGCCCUUACGCCCAGGGCUACACACGUGCUACAAUGGCCGGUACAGAGGGCUGCGAUGCCGUGAGGCGGAGCGAAUCCCUAAAAGCCGGUCUCAGUUCGGAUUGGGGUCUGCAACUCGACCCCAUGAAGUCGGAGUCGCUAGUAAUCGCAGAUCAGCAACGCUGCGGUGAAUACGUUCCCGGGCCUUGUACACACCG
rnacentral:rRNA from 1 species